AUGCUCACUUCAGCAGCACAUAUACUAAAACUGGAAUGACACAGAGAAGAUGUGUAUGGCCCCCACACAAGGAUGACAUGCAAAUUCGUGAAACAUUCCAUAUUUUU
rnacentral:snRNA from 1 species